CCGAGGCCGGACGGUAGAGGCCUCCCUUCUGAGAAGGCGGUGCGGCCGCAAGCUGCUAAGGUUCCGCUCUCGAACCCGUGCGUCCUUCCCGACGAGGUCCCUGCGCGGCCCGACCCAGUGGCACGGAUGUUUCCAUGCAGGCGAUUUUGACAGCAAUCAUCAUACCAAGCUAUUAUGAAGUGCGAUGUCAGUGCGUUCUGGAGGACGGAUAGUAUAUAAGCCAGUUCUUGACACGCUAUCUUACAAGGAAACAUCUGAGACCAUCAGCAUAGAAGUAACUAAAAAACAAAUAUUAUGUGUCUGAGCCCCAGCAAGAUUAUGUGACUUCAUAAAGAUAGUAUGGCUGGCUCCAUGGAAGAGCCAAGGGGUUGCUUGAAGAGGAUUUAUGCAUCCCACAGACACCUGACAGGCCUAUUCUAAGGGCCCUUGGACAGACUUACCCUGUUCACCCAUGCCUCAGAUGUCCUUCCUGCCUUGGGACAUAUACCUGUCUUCGUGACCCACCCUUUUUAUCAACAAGAUAACUACAAAUAAGGUUCCCCAAGUGUACUCUCCCAGUGAACUUCAUAGCUGGUUAAUUCAGAAGAUAGCACUGGCUGUCUGAUCCUCUUAAGGAUCCUUGUGACUGCAUUGGGCCUACCUGGAUAAACCAGAAUAAUCUAUGUUGAAGUGAGCUAACUAGCAAUCUUAAUUCCAUCUGUAAUCUUAAUUCCCCCUUGCCUUGUAAGCUCCUGCCAUCAAGAAGUAGGGUCCAUUUCCUUGUUCCUGGGCUGGCCGUGCGACUUGCUUUUACCAAUACAGUGAAGUGGAAGUGAUAGUGUACCAGUUCCGAAGGCCUUGUGUACUGCUGCCCUCUCUGUCUCGCUCGAAAUCCCACCUGGCUACCAUGAGGACAAGCCUGUGUUCACUUGCUGGGUCAGCUGUCUCCAAUCCUGAGGUCAUCACUCAUCAAGAGGGGAUAAUCCCAAGGACAGCAGGACCUGCUUCAUCACUUGGAUUUAGGAGUGAGAAACCCAUCAGGCAACUAAACAGUAACAAUGACCCACCAUUAAACACACUGAGAGAAGUGCAUGAUGAGGAGAUUGUACGAGAAGAAUCCCGGAGCUCUUGCUGACAACGCCUAUGGAGACGCUGACCACUGUGAGCUCUGCCCAUUGAACUGCAGUAAAAAAUCUCCCCCUCCCCAGAGAUGCUUGGAUGCGGGCACAAUAUCAGUUCAGACAAUGGUCUGUGUGUGGACUUAGAGUGGAAAGAAUUUGGACUGUGGGGUAAACAGACCUGGGUCUGAACUGCUAUUCUGCCACUUCCAGGUAGUGUGUUUUAGCAGCAUUAAA